GGUUCCUACGGGGGGCAGCAGUGGGGAAUAUUGCACAAUGGGGGGAACCCUGAUGCAGCGACGCCGCGUGAGUGAAGAAGUAUUUCGGUACGUAAAGCUCUAUCAGCAGGGAAGAAAAAAGGACGGUACCUGAGUAAGAAGCCCCGGCUAACUACGUGCCAGCAGCCGCGGUAAUACGUAGGGGGCAAGCGUUAUCCGGAUUUACUGGGUGUAAAGGGAGCGCAGGCGGCGCGGUAAGUCUGAUGUGAAAGCCCGGGGCUCAACCCCGGGACUGCAUUGGAAACUGUCGUGCUGGAGUGUCGGAG
rnacentral:rRNA from 1 species